AACGAACGCUGGCGGCAUGCCUAACACAUGCAAGUCGAACGAGACCUUCGGGUCUAGUGGCGCACGUGUGCGUAACGCGUGGGAACCUGCCCUUAGGUUCGGAAUAACUCCCCGAAAGGGGUGCUCAUACCGGAUAAUCUCUUCGGACCAAAGAUUUAUCGCCUUUGGAUGGGCCCGCGUUGGAUUAGCUAGUUGGUAGGGUAAAAGCCUACCAAGGCGACGAUCCAUAGCUGGUCUGAGAGGAUGAUCAGCCACACUGGGACUGAGACACGGCCCAGACUCCUACGGGAGGGAGCAGUGGGGAAUAUUGGACAAUGGGCGAAAGCCUGAUCCAGCAAUGCGGCGUGAGUGAUGAAGGCCUUAGGGUUGUAAAGCUCUUUUACCCGGGAUGAUAAUGACAGUACCGGGAGAAUAAGCUCCGGCUAACUCCGUG
rnacentral:rRNA from 1 species